UACGUAGGGUGCAAGCGUUGUCCGGAAUUAUUGGGCGUAAAGAGCUCGUAGGCGGUCUGUCGCGUCGGCUGUGAAACCCUGAGGCUCAACCUCAGGCCUGCAGUCGAUACGGGCAGACUAGAGUCCGGCAGGGGAGACUGGAAUUCCUGGUGUAGCGGUGAAAUGCGCAGAUAUCAGGAGGAACACCGGUGGCGAAGGCGGGUCUCUGGGCCGGAACUGACGCUGAGGAGCGAAAGCGUGGGGAGCGAACAGG
rnacentral:rRNA from 1 species